CAUUGUCUCAUCUCUAAUUCCUCCUAAUUCUAAAUAUCCAAUUAUUCUUCCCCAUAAAUAUUUCCGUUCCAAUUUCAAAGAGUCAUCCUUCUCGCACUCCUCUUCUUCCACAACAUCAGAAACAACUAGUGCUUCAGCUAUUUAUUCGAAUCUCGAGGUUUCAUUCAAAACAGGGAGGUUUCUGAGCAAUGAAGAGCUUGAAAAGCUUCAAACCUUCAGAAUUUUAGAUAUUAUUAAGAACUGGAAACUGGGUCGAUGUGGGUUCGGGUGAUGAGGCCUGAGGUGAUGGAUAUCACCCUGUGGGGUAUGUGUCUUUGUUACUUGAUUGAUAGCAGAUCUGUAAUGCCACAUGCUGUUACACUUGUUGGGUUUUAUAGAGGGAAACAUGAGGGUGAUGGAGAUGGGGAAGAGGAGGAGGAGGAGCUGCCAGGGGCCGUGGAGGUUUGUUUUGAUAAGAAGGGUGCUAAUGCUUCUCCUCCUACACCAACUCCUCCCAAGAAUUAUCCUUACAUUUGCAACAUGACUGUUAAGGAGCCACUUCGUUAGUAUGUCUUGUUUAUUGCUUUUCUUGUCUUGGCUAAUUGCACAUUUCUAGUUGACAUCAUGAACUGCUUUGCAAGAAUUAAGCAUUUCUUUUUACCAAAGUGGUGAAUAACGAGUCAUUCUAUUUCCAAUGGAAAUGAUUAAUUUUUAGCUCUCAGUCCUGGUAGAAAGGAUAACGAUCUAUGAAAGUGCGAAUAAAUCAAAAUAUGAAAAAUAAUCACUUAAGGAGGUUGAUUAAGUAUUCAUCCAAGUAGUUGAUAUAUUGUAGGGUAUCAAGAAUUUAGAAGAUUUUAGGAUAGUCGUUCAAAAUUCUAACUUACACUAGCAGUCGAGCGCUGAUGCUAAGAUUUGGUUAUCUACCUUAUUAAUUUCGGUUCUUGAGUCCUAUUGAAAGUAAAACGGCAAAAAUGUAAGAUCAAAUAACUAUACAAAUAAUGAAUCUAACUGACAUAUUCUUUAUGGAGAGAAUUGUAGUAAGAGCUCAAUAUGAUUAAAUGAUAAUUUUAUGAUUAUAGAGAACUUGUGGUUCACCAUUGACAGCCCUUAUGGCAACAUGUUAUGCACUUGAUGAUGUUGCCAUGAUCUACCCAUCACCAUCAUUCAGCAUCAUUAAUUUUAUGUUCUCUAUUAUUAUUUAACUUUCUACACCAUGACUCUUAAGAUACCAUACCAGCUUUGGAACUUGAAGCAUUUCUGUACAAUGUAUUGAACUAGACUAGAUUUCUGAGCGUAUAUCUGAGGAACUUCAAAGGGAGGCAUUGGUUGGAGUCUUCUGAAGGCAAGUGAGCAAUUAAUUUAUCAGAUGAGUUGCUUAAGAGAGGUGUAUUUGCAUUGCAGAAUGAUUGAUUCGGCCCCCUUUAAUAUGUAUACAAAAGCAGGCUACAACGUUGUUAAGACAGAUAGUAUAUUGGUCAUGUUAAUGUUGCAGAGACGCAAACAUUUGAUGUGCAAGAAACUUCCAGUCUUAAAGAAUCCUUCAGAACUUGAUUUCUUGGAUUGUGACAUGGAACUCUGUUCAAAAUUGGAUACACAGAUGCCAUGAUAUAUGUUUCUAAGGUCCAAGUUCUUCAGGAUAUUGUCGGACUGGGUUUUGGUGAUCAUCCAAUCAGGUUGAUUAUGCUAGGAAGUCGAUCUGAUUAGGUGAUGUCUUCUUGCUAGUAAUUUUUUGUAAUUAUGGUACAAACCUGUUGUGCCACAGAUAAUUUGACCAGGCAUCUCCUUUUUCUUGCAAGCAAUUUACACUCAAAAGUCAAAACUUUAUAGAAUAUUUGUAUAUUAUUUGAAAAUAAAAAGAGUAAGAGCUUGGAUGGAGAUGAGAAACAAAGUAAAGAGGAAAAGAACAAUAGUGCCUCUAGAGAUGGUUCCAAAAACUCAUUGAGAGAAGAUCUAGCUUUUAUUGCAAAAGGCAGGUUUCUUGUUUUAGAGCAGCAUGUGAUAUUCAUAUAGAAGUCUUUAAUAAGUGGGGAAAAAAAAUCUGAACUAAGAUGUUGAUGCUACACUAGCGAUACAUACAAGUGAAUGUUUCCUUCUGGAUGUGGUCCUCUUAAUUUCUAUUUUUAAGGUUCAAGCUCGUAGCUGAAAAAUCCUCCUCCUAGAUCUUCAUUUUAUUUCUUGUAUCACUAACAAUUACUAGAUUUCUUUCUUACUAUGCAUCCGUCUCUGUUGUAUUUUUUAAAAUCCUAGGUGCCACAGCUUCCAAGUCAGUAACCAAAUGAAAGAAAAUAAAGAACCUUUACCACUGAUGUAAACAGUUUGUCUGCUGAUAAUACGUCAGGGGCUAUUUGACCAUUUUGAAUGUACGCAAUGGUGUGCCCAAGGCUAUUGAAUUUGUAUAGAUUAUCAUUUGGAGUUCUUUUGCGCAUUCAGUCAUGGAGGGUCUCUCGCUGCUCUCAAUACGGACACAACGUGAUGCCAGGGCCAUUAUUGGUGUUUUUGGAUGUUGCUGUAAAUGAAAAUGCAUUGUUAGAAGAUACCUCUCCUGACCGCAGAGUGCCCCGAUAAACUCGGCCAAAUCCUCCUUUUCCAAGCAUUUGUUCAUCACUAAAAGAGCAAGUUGCUUCUUCCAUUUCCUUGAGUGUGAAAACUGAAGAUCCAUGCUGUCGUUUUGUUGCCUGGGGAGUUUGAUCCUUGAGUUGCCAAAACUCUACAGGUUUAUAAACCCCUGGAAAUAAGGUAGGCGCACAUUCAAACUAUGAAACUACUUAUGGAAAAAAUAGGUUGAAAGAACAUGGUGAGGAACUUAUUUUUAUGCUAUCAAAUGAAGAAAUAGAAGAAGAAUGUACAGGGAUCUGUGUGAUCUUGGGACUUGCUUCUCCGGCGCUUGUUCCACGAGGAGACCAACCCAAAAGGCAUAAUGUUUCUUCCUUGUAUGGAAUUAACCUCUGUUUUCAGGAUUUAAAUAAAUUGAAUUAUCUGGAACAGACAACUGGAUAGAGAUAUUUCAUGGAAACCCUGGGAGUAAGAGAUGUUUCUUGACUCAACUGAUCACUCGGCAGAAAUCAGUGCAGAUUAGGCUAAGCUCUAGAGUUUUUGGCUGAAGAAAAAUAUUGUGAAAAUAGAAAAGAUUAUGAAGUAUAGUCUGCAAAAAAGAGAAGAGCUGAUACUAAGAGAAUGAUCUGAUGAGUACGCAUUGAGCAAACUAGGUAAGGUAGAUGAGGAGAAUACUCAACUACAUCUUUCAACAACCUGAAAAUUGAAGAGGUGAGGAGAGAUUUACUUGAAGAAAAAGGAAAAGCAAUGAAGGGAGAAAGUUGGUAUUGGUUGCUUACCUUUGGGUGAUGUAGUGGAAAGUUGGUGGUGGAACAUUUUGCUUGAUGAAGAAAUACAAUCUGUUGCACCUCAGCCUCUUCCUUUCCCUCCAUUUUCGUUUGAUUUUUGUUUUUAACUUUUUGUGAAGAUAGAGGUGGCCGUUGAGAGGUUGUUUUCAUUCGUUUCUCUAAUUUUUAAUUAAUUUAUUCAUUAUCAUC